rnacentral:lncRNA from 1 species
AAGGGGAGAUCAGUGCCAGGUGAGCUGAUUGGCACAGCCGGUGCUGGCUGGCUAAUUACACUCUGCCUUUUAAUGCAGCGGCAUGCUGGACCUCAGAUGACUGCUGCACACUGAGGACAAUCGGCCACUUCUGCCUGUUGGAACUCAACAGCUGAUAAAUGUGUUUAUGUUGAGACUCGCUCCCAUGACAAGGACCACAUAUGAGGCAGAAGCACACGGCUGCUUUUUGACUGUAUACAAAGAUGGAGGAUAUGACAUGUCCACAAAAGUGAAGCCAGAACAUCUUGAUGGACCCCUGGUGGCUGGAGGCAGUACAGCCGCCCCCAAGUCAGCAGUCAGGCUUUUCUCUCACCAUGAGCUCAGUCGAUGCCUGCUGCUAACCUCAGGCCAGGCGGGAGCCCGGAGGUUUUGAGAGGUCGGACCUGACUGUCUGGAAAAUACUGCCAUUUGUGAUUCUCAACAACUGUUGGGUCGGUUGUCAUGACAUCUGGAAUGGACGUUCAUGUCCCCCCCAAACUCUAAUAUUUG